AUUGAACGCUGGCGGCAGGCCUCAAACAUUCAAGUCGAACGUGUGGCGGACGUGCGAGUAAUGACUAGGACUCUGCCUGAUGGAGGUGGAUAGCUACUGGAAACGGUAGCUAGCACCGCAUUCCAUCCGAUGUGCCCAGAUGGUAUUGGCUAGUAGUGGGUUUAAAGGCUUACCUAGGCGACGAUCCCUAGCUGGUCUGUGAGGGUGACCAGACACACUGGAACGGUGACACGGUCCAGACUCCGACGGGAGGCAGCGGUUGGGAAAAUUGCACAAUGGGCGCAAGCCUGAUGCAGCCAGGACGCGUGUAUGAAGAAGGCCUUCGGGUUGUAAAGUACGUUCAGCGGGGAGGCGUUACCCGCAGAAGAAGCACCGGCUAACUCCGUGCCAGCAGCCGCGGUAAUAC
rnacentral:rRNA from 1 species